rnacentral:sRNA from 1 species
GCUCCCAUCAGCAGAUCCUGAUAAUUAUUUCUUUUGCAGAGUUUAAGAAUUCAGUGUCCAGCAGAUCAGCAGCCGAAAAGGAAGAUAUAAAGUGUGUCAAAAGCCUGGUGGUUCAACACAAUGAACAUGAAGACCAGCACAGCCUAGAUUUGGGUAUGAAAUAACGCUUUUACCUAUACUCGUAGGGGCAUCCCAGAUCCAGGUUUAGAGUGGACAAGAAGCAAGUAAAUUUUAACAUAAAAUAUUCCUUCCUGGUAACCUUAUCUAUUUCCUGAAAUGC